GUACUGCCGAAGAGUCCUAAACUAGGACGAAACAGCUUUCCAGUAC
rfam:Trichobilharzia regenti genome assembly, scaffold: TRE_scaffold0055863